rnacentral:lncRNA from 1 species
CCCUUCUCCAGAGCGCCGUCGACCCCACGCCACGCAGAGGUGAAGAUACGCAGGACGUCCUCUAAAGCAACUUCCGUGGGUGCCAGGUUGUGGGCUGGGGGCGGUGCUGACCUUGAGAGAGCGGAGGAGGCGCAGGCGCAGCACAGUUUAAACUUGAUUUUGUGAGGGGACGAACAGCGUGACAAUUAAAAGAAGAUCUGGGAAUCGAAUACCCAUCUCGAGUUCUGGAUAUGUGCUCUGAGAAGGUGCCCAUGUCACCGACCACACUGGAGGCCAAUGCAGAUACUGGGGGAAGGUUCCAUGGUAGCUAAGUGUGGACAAGCUAAUCACUGAAGUUCCCUGAUGCAGAGUUGAUAAUCUCUCUAGAGUUGGAUGAAAGACUGUGCUGCCUUGAAGCUCUGAGAGAUGCCAUGCCAAUUCAAGGCAGGGUCUUUAUUGUUGAAACUCUUGCGUAAUGACAUCUUUAUUCAGGUGAAAAUACAGGAUGAAUUUCAACUAUAUGAUAUUGUUUAUGUUCCUCAGACAUGUUAUUUGUCUUUACAAAGAUUGGUUUCAAUAAACUGUGUGACUGAUAUUAAAUAAACAUGGAAUUUUACACAUUCAUAAUAAAAAAAAAA